GCUAUUUUUUUAUUCAAGUUCAGAAUGGGUCAUAAAGCAGCAGAGACAGCUUGCAACUCAACAACACAUUUAGCCUGGGCACUGACACACGCACAUACAGUGCAGUGGUGGUUCAAGAACUUUUGUAAAGGAGACGAGAGCUUUGAAGGUGAGGAGCGUAGUGGCUGGCCAUUCGAAGUUGACAGUGACCAAUUGAGAGCCAUCAUCAAAGUUGAUCCUCUUACAGCCACACAAGAAAUUGUCAAAGGACUCCACACAGGAUCAUCUGUCGUUCGGCAUUUGAAGCAAAUUGGAACAGUGAGAAAGCUUGAUAAGUGGGUGCUUCAUGAGCUGACCACAAAUCAAAAAAAUCAUCAUUUUAAAGUAUUGUUUUCUUUUAUCCUAAGCAACAGCAGUGAACCAUUUCUUGAUCAGAUUAUGAGGUGCAACAAAAAGUGGUUUUUAUACAACAACCAAGAAGAAGCUCCAAAGUCCUUCCCAAAGCCAAACUUGCCCCUAAAAACGGUCAUGGUUACUGUUUGGUGGUCUACUGCCCAUCUAAUCCACUACAGCUUUUUGGAUCCUGGCGAAACCAUUACAUCUGAGAAAUGUGCUCAGAAAAUUGAUGCAAUCAUGGAACACUGCAAUGCCUGCAGCUGGCAUUGGUCAACAGAAUGGGCCCAGUUCUUCUCCAGGACCACACCUGACCACACGUCACACAACCAGCACUUCAGAGUUGACAAAUUGGGCUACGAAGUUUUGCCUCAUCCUCCAUAUUUACCUGACCUCUUGCCAACUGACUAUUACUUCUUCAAGCAUUUCAACAACUUUUUGCUGGGAAAACGCUUCCACAGCCAGCAGGAGGCAAAAAAUGCCAGUUGUGAAUACAGGAAUAAACUUAUUUCUUGUUGGCAAAAAUGUGUUGAUUUUAAUGUUGUAAUGGUUAGU
rnacentral:lncRNA from 1 species